GACGAACGCUGGCGGCGUGCUUAACACAUGCAAGUCGAACGAAGAGCGAUGGAAGCUUGCUUCUAUCAAUCUUAGUGGCGAACGGGUGAGUAACGCGUAAUCAACCUGCCCUUCAGAGGGGGACAACAGUUGGAAACGACUGCUAAUACCGCAUACGAUCUGACCUCGGCAUCGAGGAUAGAUGAAAGGUGGCCUCUAUUUAUAAGCUAUCACUGAAGGAGGGGAUUGCGUCUGAUUAGCUAGUUGGAGGGGUAACGGCCCACCAAGGCGAUGAUCAGUAGCCGGUCUGAGAGGAUGAACGGCCACAUUGGGACUGAGACACGGCCCAGACUCCUACGGGAGGCAGCAGUGGGGAAUCUUCCGCAAUGGACGAAAGUCUGACGGAGCAACGCCGCGUGAGUGAUGACGGCCUUCGGGUUGUAAAGCUCUGUUAAUCGGGACGAAAGGCCUUCUUGCGAAUAGUUAGAAGGAUUGACGGUACCGGAAUAGAAAGCC
rnacentral:rRNA from 1 species